rnacentral:rRNA from 1 species
GAUGAACGCUGGCGGCGUGCCUAAUACAUGCAAGUCGAGCGAACAGACGAGGAGCUUGCUCCUCUGACGUUAGCGGCGGACGGGUGAGUAACACGUGGAUAACCUACCUAUAAGACUGGGAUAACUUCGGGAAACCGGAGCUAAUACCGGAUAAUAUAUUGAACCGCAUGGUUCAAUAGUGAAAGACGGUUUUGCUGUCACUUAUAGAUGGAUCCGCGCCGCAUUAGCUAGUUGGUAAGGUAACGGCUUACCAAGGCAACGAUGCGUAGCCGACCUGAGAGGGUGAUCGGCCACACUGGAACUGAGACACGGUCCAGACUCCGACGGGAGGCAGCAGUAGGGAAUCUUCCGCAAUGGGCGAAAGCGUGACGGAGCAACGCCGCGUGAGUGAUGAAGGUCUUCGGAUCGUAAAACUCUGUUAUUAGGGAAGAACAAAUGUGUAAGUAACUAUGCACGUAUUGACGGUACCUAAUCAGAAAGCCACGGCUAACUACGUG